CCAUGUACUGGCUGGCCAAGACCCUCAAUGAAUUCGGCAUAUGGCCAAAUAGCCUAUUCGUAGCAACUGGCCAUCAAGGUAGAGCUUACGCAGGUGAUCAUUCCAGAAGCACCAGAUUCAGAAGGGUCUACUCAAUGCUAACAACCACUCAUCUAAUGGAAGUGAUAGGGUUGCGACGAGCCUUUGUUUCAUUAUAUAUUGCUGUCAUUUAACAUCAUUUUUUUCUUGUCAAUUAGGGCUGUGUUCUUCAUUCUCGAUUGCUAGGGUGCCUUCCUGAGAUUGUGAUUCAGAGUUCAGUGAAGGGAAGCUGUGUUUUCUUUAGGGCUAGUUUAGGCGUUUGUAGAAGUGGUAGCUGAGUAGAUUAGGCCUUUGGCUGUUUAGGAUAUUGAGAAUUUCCCACAAUUGAUUUGUCUGCAAUUUGGUGAGCAGAAGUUAUGAACAUAUAUGUCGAGGAUCCAAUUCGACUGAUGCUACUUGCAGAUGUUUUUAUCACUGAAACUCGUUUGAAAUCCAGUUUAGUGCUAAGUGCCCGAUAGUUUCCUGCAGUAGAUAAGGGUUCUAUGAUGGGUGUGAAACAAAAUCCCCGAGGGUGCUUAGUGCUAAUGUAAGUGGCAAUACUAUUCGGCCGUGAUUGUCGAUCAAUUGAACCCAUGUUUGCCAAGUCUGAACCUACUACACAUCUAUGC
rnacentral:lncRNA from 1 species